rnacentral:rRNA from 1 species
GAUGAACGCUGGCGGCGUGCCUAAUACAUGCAAGUCGAGCGAACAGACGAGGAGCUUGCUCCUCUGACGUUAGCGGCGGACGGGUGAGUAACACGUGGAUAACCUACCUAUAAGACUGGGAUAACUUCGGGAAACCGGAGCUAAUACCGGAUAAUAUAUUGAACCGCAUGGUUCAAUAGUGAAAGACGGUUUUGCUGUCACUUAUAGAUGGAUCCGCGCCGCAUUAGCUAGUUGGUAAGGUAACGGCUUACCAAGGCAACGAUGCGUAGCCGACCUGAGAGGGUGAUCGGCCACGCUGGAACUGAGACACGGUCCAGACUCCUACGGGAGGCAGCAGUAGGGAAUCUUCCGCAAUGGGCGAAAGCUUGACGGAGCAACGCCGCGUGAGUGAUGAAGGUCUUCGGAUCGUAAAACUCUGUUAUUAGGGAAGAACAAAUGUGUAAGUAACGAUGCACGUCUUGACGGUACCUAAGCAGAAAGCCACGGCUAACUACGU